AAAGGGCCAUUGUAAUCCUGACGGUUUCCCAGCAAUGACAGUGCAGGCGCAGACCACCAUCCAGCUCAUUUCACUUACACUGUUCACAAGGAGACUAUGAAUGGAAAAAAGUCAAUGGCAAAACUCCCACAUCCUGCUGAAGUUGGUACAUGGAUACUCUACUCAUCUUUAAAGCUGAACUACACAGUAAUUGUUGUGUCACGUGGAAACCCGCUCCUGUCAACAGAAACCAAAUCAUAAAGAAACAAACUCUUCCUUCCUGUCCUCUGCCUGUAGCAGAAAAUAGACAAGCCAAGCAGAUGUCCAGGGAUGGCGGAGGAGUACCUCGGCUGCAGCUUCCUUGAGAGAAAACAAGCUCAAGACAGCCUUCGGGGCUGGGGGUGGGAGUGCGGGGGUGGGAGUGCAGGCCGGCAGGCAUUGGGCUGGGGGCAGGGUGGGGGGAUGGGGGGUGGAAGGUGGCACAGUAUUGUGUUCAGGUUCCCAACUCACUCAAGCCGAUUGCCCGUUGCCUUCUUUCUCUCCCUCACUCUCCCUUUGUCUCUUUUGAACUUACUGUGAAACAAAUUAACUAUAUAUGGCCAGGGAAAUCUCCAGCAGUCCCAGUAUUUUUAAACUCUUGUAGUCUCCUGUUUGCACACUCAUGUGACGUAGAGGAACUAGAUCCAGAGAGUUUCUCAUGGGAAUCCGGGAUGUUUCGCAGUUACUGCUGGCUUUGGUUGCAUGUGUUUUUGCCCCUUGCUAAUGCAGCCCUUGGGGUUUCAUUUCACAUCUGAAAGACUUGGGAAGCAGCAGUUUCUGUGAGUGCGCUAAGAAUGUACCAGGGAGGCUGUGUUCACAGUGCCUGUCCAGGAUGGUCAUCGAGGGCCUUAGUAACUUUGCAGCCUCUGCAGCUGGCCUGACUCAGAUUGGAGGGUGAACUGCUGGGCAGUUACAAACUGGGGGGCAUCAGCAAGGAAGAAUUAUUCUCAAAACAUUCCACUAGCCCUUCACUGUUGAAUUCCUCAUUGUUGUCAGUUUUUUGUUUUUGUUUUUGUUUUUGUUUUCGUUUUGCUGUUCUUGUGCAUUAUCCAAUUUUGCUGAAGCGAUUUUAUAAAUAUGUGCCCCAAUCCCCACCUUCCCUUCAGCGUGUGUUUCCAGUGACUGUUUAUUUCUCUUUCAUAUCCUCUUGCUGACAUCCCUUUUUACCACUGCAAAGAUGUUUCAAAAUGUCCUGGAUUCAAAACUAUUUUAUUUUAUAAGAAAUACAUUUUCAAGCAAUUUAUUCAUAAGAGUGACAUUAUAUUUGAGGAUUAAAUGAAAAUAGGGGAACAACUCCCAUAGUUACUGAGUGGAAAAAAUUACCUUUAAAACAGAAUGGAAAAUGAAAUAGUCAUUGUGGGUGUAGCUUCUUGUAGGAAUACUAGGUAUAGUUAGUUGUCUGGGUUACGCAUUACAUAACUCUAAGUGCCACCAUUCAUAAUAUAGAUUUAAUUAAUAUGAUUUUCUAUCAUAUAUUAGUGAAAUGUCUUGAAGGAAGGAUCCCUUUUUCUAUAUUGUACAAAGGGGCCGUAUAGACUAGGACUAUUCACUCUUUUUGAAGAUAGGAAUGAAUCUUACUCACUUAUUUUUUUCCUAUUGCAAUUUACCUAUUAUAAUCACUACCAUUUACAGAGAGCUAACUUUGUAUCAGACACUAGUAUAAACAAUGUUAUGCUGGCAAUAGAGUUGGAAAAAGAAAAAAAGAAGAAGCCCUGACUUUCAGUGCUUGCCAAUUUCCGUAGUGUAAAUAUCCCCACCAUAGCCAUGUUCAGGCUACCAAAGUUCUUGAAAGCUCAAUGUAGUGUUGAGAAGGGGUGAUCACAACUGGCUUUCCGGAGCCAUUUCAUUUUUAAUGAAAUGAGUUGGCUGCAACAUGCUAUUGGUUCUAUAAUAAGUAUUAACAGGCAUUAAUUGCUGUAUUAAUGAGUUUUAUUUGCUCUGUAAAAUAUUAUUACGCACCCUCAUACAGAUAUAGAAACUGAGGCAAUGAGAAGUUAUGUUACGUUGAGUAAGGUGACAGAAACAGUAAGCAGUGGAGCCAGGCUUUGAGCCCAGGUUGCCUAGCUCCAGAGCUCAUGUACAUAGGCCCUAGAUCAUGCUGGAAGCAAUAGUGCAGGUGUCAGCAAAUGAUUUCUAAAUGAGAAAAUCUUGAUGUCAAGAAGUGUAUUACUGCUUUAAGUAUUGUAUCAUUUAGGGUUCCACCAGAGAAACAGAACUUGUAAUCAAUAUACAUAGUUAAUAUGAAUAUAUAAUAAAUUCACAUUAUAUAUUUUUAAUGAAAUAUAUAUUUAGAAAUAAUGUAAAUAUAUAUGGAUAUAUAUUGAUUUAUUGCAAAGAAUUGGCUUACGUGAUUGUGGCAGCUGGCUACAAAAGUCUGAAAUCUGUACAGCAGGCCUUCAGGAAGGGCAGUCAGAAACUCUCGAGCAGGGGCUGACACUGCUGUCCACAAGUAGAAUGUCUUCCUCAAGGAAGCCCAAGUUCUGCUCAAUUACUUGAAUCAGGCCAACCCAGAUUAUCUAGGAUAAUCUUUCUUACACAAACCAAACUGUCAUAGGCUUUAACAACACCUACCUUCACAGCAACAUCUAUAUUAGUUUUGAUUGAAUAACUGGAGCCUAUAGCCUGAGUAAUUUGACUCAUAAAGUGUUGAGUUGAAUUGCAUUGCCCAAAAAUUUAUGUUGAAAUCUUCACCCCUGGUACCUGUGAAUGUGACUUUAAUUGGAAAUAGGGUCUUUGCAGAUGAAAUGAAGGUAAGGUGAGGUCAUACUAGAGUAGGGUGAGACCUUAAUUGAAUAUGACUCGGUGUCCUUAUGAGAAGAAAAGGGAAAUGUACACAGAGGUACAGGUAGAGUGCUACAGAAGUGGAGGCAGAGAUUGGAGUAAUGCAUCUCCAUGCCAAGAAAUAAUAAGAAUUGGUAGAAGCCACCAGAAGGCAUGAAGAGGUAAGGAAGCCUAAGGAAGCCUCCUUCCCCAGAGCCUUCAGAGGAAGCAAAGCAAGACCCUGCCAACACCUUGAUGUUGGGCUUCUUGCUUCCAGAACU